GGCCGGUGGUGGACGGGCGCCCCGCCAAUCCGGUCAGGUCCGGAAGGAAGCAGCCGUAACGGGUUUCGCCCGGGUCAUUCGCCGGUCUCC
rnacentral:SRP_RNA from 1 species